rnacentral:lncRNA from 1 species
UAGUUUCAUUACAAUUAUUAUUAUUUUUUCUUAAUUUUUGUGGUUGAGCGGUAAAAAUACAAAUUUGAAUGUCAAAAUGUUUCAAGUUUGAUUUAUUUGUUUUAAAAAAUACGCUUACGGUCUAUUUAUUUAUUCGGAAAAAGGUCUAUCCGUAAAAUACAUUUCUAAUUGGAAAUUACUCAGGCUCCUUCAAAGCUUUGAAAUAUACUCCAAAUUAGUAAAAAAUAAUGGGAAAAUUGCUAAAACGGAACAAAAAUUUAACAUGGUUGUCCCUUUAGUAUAAUAUCAUCUUUAAGUUGUCCUUUUAGUAUAAUUUUUUUUAUAAUUCCAAAACUAACCUUGAUUAAUCAAAUUAAACAUAAUUUAAAAGUUGAAUUGAAUUUUAAAAGUUUAAUAAAAAGGAAAAAAAAGGCAUUUCACAAAGGCAAAAAAAAUUAAAACAAAUUAAAACAAAAAGGGAACAAAAAAAAACGUAACCCUAAUUGUUUGGUUUCUCUCGACGAACAGGCGAUUCAAGGGCUUCUAUGGAAUGAACACGAAAGUGAUUCUCUCCCUUCGUCUUCUCCGACAUCGCUAGCACCUUAGGUAAAGUUUUUGUCCCUUUUUUUGGUUCUCUGAUAAUUGUCUAGAACAAAGUUAACAGUUUGAUGCAGAGAAUGCUAGACACUGAACUUUGAGUAGGACGAGGAAUAGUGAGUAAUGACGAAGCAAUAUCAUUAGUAUUUAUUCAUGCGCUAUAGAUCAUAGGUUGUGGUGGUUUACACCGUAGAAGAUUGUGCUUGUAUUCUUUCAGAUUUGUAACACAGCCUCUGAGGUUUUCA